rnacentral:lncRNA from 1 species
AGACUACAUUUUGGAGGACAGCCACAACAGGGAAGGGAGGAAGGGAUACGCUGCUUCUUCUUCAGACCUCCUCACCAUGAACCAACACCCCAAAACCCUAGCAACCUAGACUCCAUCUCCAGGGCAGCCGCUACAGUGAAAAAGGACCACCCCUCUCCUGAGCGUCGUCUUCUCCAAACGACCAGCUCUCUUCUACAGGAACCAAACACAAGACCCCUGAAGGAAUCGUCCGUAUCAGAUCGAGCAUAGACCAUCUUCUUCUUCGUGUAAACAAGUAGCAAACCCUAGGAAAAAUAGAGAGGACAACCGAACUUGAACAGGCCAACAACUACUUCUUCCUCAUCUCGUAACUCCGACGACCCACCAUUGAAACCGGCGAGAACACACAGAGCCACCGUUCCACCCUCUCACAUCUGUUGCUACCAUGACUGGACGAAAAUAUAGCAGAAAUAGUGACAAAACGUGAGAGGUUUCCAGUCGUCGCUAUCUGUUCGAAGCUCAGUUGUUGGUUCGAGGUUUCAGGUUUCAGUUUUCGAUCAAAAAUUAUGUUUUCUAGGCUUGUUGUUCUUUCUCAUUAGAUCGCAGAAUCAAAGGCUGUGUAUUUCCGAUUUCUCUUCACUGUUACAUUGAAGAAUAACGAAGCUUGUGUUUUCCAAGGUUUUGGUUCGAAUCGUCGUUGUCUACUGAGUGCCUUGAAGUUCAUAUUUCCAUCGUUGGUUUUCAUUUUUACGUAUAUGUUCUUAUGUACAGCACAAAAGUAUAGAAUUAGGCUGAGCAUUCAUCUAGUUCUUAGCUUUCUGUUGAUUCCAAAAAAAUGCAUACCAAAUGGAACUUAUACGCAUUUCAAUUUCGGAUUUUUGGGUCUUAAAAUGGAUUUCCCAUUGAGUAUUGGAGUGGGGUUCGAAUCUGAUUGAGGCGUAGGUUGUUCAAAGUCGGCUCGGGGUUCUGUCCGCGGUUCGUCAACAUUUUGGGUUCAAACUACUGAAACAAUUAAUGCUUCGACUAUAUUGAGGUUCGACUCUUUCGUCUUCUAUUUGUUUUAUUCAAGCUUGAUAAUAAUCAUUGGUUUGGUGAUAUGAUCGCGUUGUUUGUGUAGUUAUUUUUAUAGUUUU